rnacentral:rRNA from 1 species
AUUGAACGCUGGCGGCAUGCCUUACACAUGCAAGUCGAACGGUAACGCGGGGCAACCUGGCGACGAGUGGCGAACGGGUGAGUAAUGCAUCGGAACGUGCCUGGUAGUGGGGGAUAACUGCUCGAAAGAGCAGCUAAUACCGCAUACGACCUGAGGGUGAAAGGGGGGGAUCGCAAGACCUCUCGCUAUCAGAGCGGCCGAUGUCGGAUUAGCUAGUUGGUGGGGUAAAGGCCCACCAAGGCAACGAUCCGUAGCUGGUCUGAGAGGACGACCAGCCACACGGGGACUGAGACACGGCCCAGACUCCUACGGGAGGCAGCAGUGGGGAAUUUUGUACAAUGGACGCAAGUCUGAUCCAGCCAUGCCGCGUGCGGGAAGAAGGCCUUCGGGUUGUAACCGCUUUUGUCAGGGAAGAAAUCUUCUGGGUUAAUACCUCGGGAGGAUGACGGUACCUGAAGAAUAAGCACCGGCUAACUACGUGCCAGCCGCCGCCGUAA